GGAGUGCUCGAAAGAGAACCAGUACACAGGUGCUGCAUGGCUGUCGUCAGCUCGUGUCGUGAGAUGUUGGGUUAAGUCCCGCAACGAGCGCAACCCUUGUCAUUAGUUGCUACGAAAGGGCACUCUAAUGAGACUGCCGGUGACAAACCGGAGGAAGGUGGGGAUGACGUCAAGUCCUCAUGGCCCUUAUGGGUAGGGCUUCACACGUCAUACAAUGGUACAUACAGAGCGCCGCCAACCCGCGAGGGGGAGCUAAUCGCAGAAAGUGUAUCGUAGUCCGGAUUGUAGUCUGCAACUCGACUGCAUGAAGUUGGAAUCGCUAGUAAUCGCGGAUCAGCAUGUCGCGGUGAAUACGUUCCCGGGUCUUGUACACACCGCCCGUCACACCAUGGGAGCGGGUUUUACCAGAAGUAGGUAGCUUAACCGUAAGGAGGGCGCUUACCACGGUAGGAUUCGUGACUGGGGUGAAGUCGUAACAAGGUAGCCGUAUCGGAAGGUGCGGCUGGAUCACCUCCUUUCUA
rnacentral:rRNA from 1 species